rnacentral:lncRNA from 1 species
AGAAACUUGGCCCUUUUCUCACGAUUCCUCUCUCCUCUCUCACUUCACUCGACGCCUUCUCCAAAUCAGCCCGCACGACGACGUCCUCCGUCCGGCACCACUCCGACGAGGUCCUACAAUCUGGCGAGCAGGUACGUAAUAUUCCUCAAAACUUGCUUGGAAACCCUUUUUUUUUUUUUUUUUUGUAUUUUUGGGCAUCUUGUUCUUGAUUUUGGUGGUUUUUAUUGCUGAUUUUUUCUGAGAUUUGUGUGUAAAAAAUUACCAAGUUUGUCCUGUGGAAGCAAAUAGCAAUUUGGUGGUGUCAAUUGCUGGUUUGUAUGGAAAGUGUGGGAGAAUUAAGUCGGGGUUGCUUGUUUUCGAUAAAAUGGGGAAGAAGAAUUUGUUCACAUGCUAGUGGGAGAAUUGAGUCAGGGAGCUCUUCUUACUGGUAGUAGAGCCCAUGGAAGUGGUUAUUCAGCUGGAGAAAGGGCUUGUGAGUGUUUAAUCAUAGUUGGAACGUGGGGUGUUGAUGUUGAUUGAUUGGGAAACAAUGAGGGAAAAGAGGAAAACAUUUUGAGUUAAUGAUAAUAUAUUUCCAUUAAAGUUAGUUUGGGGAAAUUAAGUUCAAUGUUUGUGGAAAUGGAUUACAAUUUGAAACUGCCCAAAAUGGAUUAUACAUAUUAAAUUAAGAUUAUCACUACCAAUUGGAUGUUGGGUGAAGAAAAUGAGGACCUCGUGCAUUUUUGCCUUUCCUUUUUGUUUUUGCCAUAUUAAUAUUGCUUUGCAAAAUAGAUGGGAAAAAAUAAAAAUAAAAAUCUUUCUUUUCCUGUUUCUCGCUCUGCAGAGCAUUGGUGGAG